UUUAUAGGCGAAAUAAUUUUUUCCUUUGGCAAAAAGUCUCCCUCCAAUUCUCACAUCUCGGUCUAACUCUCAAAUUUCUCGCUCCAAAUCUCAAAAUUCUCACUCCAGUCAUCAGUUACUCCUACUCUAACCCAAUUUUCCUAAUCUAACCUAAUCUUCCUCCCAUCUCAUUUGUCAUCAAAAUCGUCAGUCAUCAGCUCUAAACCAAUCUUCCUAAUCUAACCUAAUUACUCCAACUCUUAGAAAUUUUAGGAGGACAGAUGAUGAUGAUGGUUAAAAUGCAACCAGCUAAAGCAAAAAACAAACCGGGAUCAAAUUUGAAGCCUGGAAAGAUCAAGUACAUAAAAUAAGGUUUAUUAGGUAAGGCGAGUGGUCAAGGGUUAAGACUAGUGAUUUUUGAAGAUGGAAGUAGUGCAUUUAAUUCAUCGAAGAGUGCUCCAAGUACUCCAAUUACACAAUUUGGCAUGGAGCAUUACAUUUGUGAUCAGAUAAAUGACGCUGAGAAACAAAGGAAAGUAGAAGCAGAACGCGAGGCAAAAUUUCAUGAAAUUGCUCAAAAAUAAAAGAAAAGAGGGAGAGAGAGAGAAGAGGAAAGGAAAUUAUCUGCUUCGUCUUCUAGGCCUUCAUAUCCUCCUGCUGUGUCCCGUCCAGAGCUAAGUGCAUUUGCUCCUACUGCUGCCACUGGCAAAUACGUACCUAGAUAUCAUUGGGACAAAGAAGGCCCAAGAAAUGGGGGCUCUAGGGAGUCUCGUCUAGAUGGGGAUGCUAGGCAAAAACCUGUAAUUGAUGACCUCUGGGUUAGUAGGCAGCCUCCUUUUGACUAUGACAGAGGGCCUAGUAGCACAAGGAUGGAAGUUCUAAACCUACCCAUUGAUAGGCGACGUGAUGUCAGCUCAAAGUCCACUUGUUCAUCUUCUAGAGAAGAAAAAAGGAAAUUUGGUGCUACCGGAAUUUUGAAGAUGCCGUUUUGAUCAACUAUCAUUGACUGGACAAGAUCAAAACCUAAUUAAAGGGCUCGAGGCAACAAAAACAGAGAUGAGAAGAUGGAAUUAGAGAGCCUAAAAGCUAAGCAUUUAAUUUCUUUUAUGUUCAUUUAUGAAUUAUUACUUUCUAUAUUCUUGACCAUCUCCUAAUUUUUGAAUUUAAUUGCUAUGUAUUUUUCAGCCGGACCAGUAAAGAGGGAAGCAAAAGGCUUUCAGAGAAAGAAGAGAAUGAGAAAGAAAAUCAAACAGAAACUUGGAUGAAUUUGAGAUUGAUAUAAGUGAUCCACAUGCAAGAGAAAUAGUAUAUGUAAUGAUGGCUAGACGAUUGCAGGUGACGGCUUACUUAAAUAUAUUUUUUAAUUCGUUACGCUUUUAAUUUUUCUUUAUAAUUUCAAAAUUAUUCAAUUAAUUAUGUCAAUUUGAAAAUAAAAGUGUAUAUAAUAAACAUAUUUUUUUUUCCAGAUGGGAAUUGUUGGAAUGAAAGAAGAUGGACGUCUUCUAUUUCAAAA